rnacentral:rRNA from 1 species
GAUGAACGCUGGCGGCGUGCCUAAUACAUGCAAGUCGUACGGAAAGGCCCUUCGGGGUACUCGAGUGGCGGACGGCUGAGUAACGCGUGGGAACGUGCCCCAAAGUGAGGGAUAACGCACCGAAAGGUGUGCUAAUACCGCAUAUGGUCUUCGGAUUAAAGCUUCGGCGCUUUGGGAGCGGCCCGCGUACGAUUAGAUAGUUGGUGAGGGAAUGGCGCACCAAGGCGACGAUCGUUAGCUGGUCUGAGAGGAUGAUCAGCCAGACUGGGACUGAGACACGGCCCAGACUCCUACGGGAGGCAGCAGUAAGGAAUCGUCCACAAUGGGGGCAACCCUGAUGGAGCAACGCCGCGUGCAGGAUGAAGGUUUUCGGAUCGUAAACUGCUUUUAUAAGUGAAGAAUAUGACGGUAACUUAUGAAUAAGGAUCGGCUAACUACGUGCCAGCCGCCGCGGUAACAC